UGGAAGAGUAGUUUUAAACUGUCCUGGAAUGUAUUUGAAUACUCCAGUACACAUGAAGGUCCAUGUCCAAUCUGCAUAUUAAUUUUUAUUCACCCGUUCUAGCAAUAAGGACAAUAUGCUUAUUUUUGAUGCCAAAGGCUAUUAUGAAGCAUAAGAUAUGGUCCAAAAAUCACAGCAGUUUCAUACAAGUGACUCAAUUUUGAAGGAAUAAUUGAGAGAGAAAGCUACAUUUCUUCCAAAAAUGCCAGGCCCAGUGGUUCUUUUCAGCCCUGUGUACAGAGACGGGUUCAGACAAUGGUCUCACUUCUAAGCUGUAUGUAUUCUUGCCUUUUCCAGGACUCUGCUUUGGUUUGCUGCUCAUGGCGAGGAGUUCUGCAAAGCACAGAUGUGGCUGGCAAAGUGGGGAACAAAGCUUGGGUAGAGGAGAUAACACAGCAGCCUUUCAGUUGUCCUGAAGGAACCAGUUAUGGCCUGACUGUGUGUCAGUGGGGUGCCUGCUGUAGUCUGCCUGGCACUGCAGGGCAGAUUCCUGACUCACUGGUGAAGAUUAUAGGCUUAUCACCAUAUUGGAUGUCCCUAAAGGAGCCAGUAGAUUCACAUUAUCAGCCGUGUGACAGUGAAUAUUCUCUGUUUGGAUGGUAGGAUAGCUUUUGUUUGUGGUAUAAGCAAUCAAUGGGCUGAGUUGUCUGUCACAGAUUUAUUUCCUGCCUGGGAAGCUAGUCUCAAGUGAGUUGUUGGUGCCCUUCUACACAGAAUGAAAUUUGCGCAUGAAAUUCAAGUCUAGGCAUGUGUAGAACAUCCUAGGAAAAACUAAAUUGUAUUUCUUUUUGGCAAAUUCAACCUUAAGAUGUACUUUAUUCCAGCAAAAAACCUGUUUAGUGACAAAGGAAUCCUGGUUAGCUACCCAAAGUCUAUGUCAUUUUUCUCCACAAAACAGAUAAUUCUCAGUGUUUCAUACAUUGUGAGAUCAGCUCUUAGAGCCCUGAGUUGGAUGAUUUGAAACCUCAAUAAACCUUUCAGAUACAUAAAAAGGCCCCUGGGCUCCCUGGUGCUUCCUCCAUGGACUGGUCCUUCAGGAGUGGGCAUGAGAAUGAGACUGCCAUAAGAAAACAAUGGGGAAGAAGACUUUGUCCUCCUCAUGGCUAGAAGCCAUCCCUGGCAGAUAGGAACUUCAGCUUGCAAAAGAGAACCGUGCUCUGAAAAAGAGUAAUGUCUUUUAAGCUGGACAAGUACUAUGGAAAACAUCAACCUCUUAUUCGAGUAAUAAUCGACCUCUUCAGUAAUCUUUCUGCUGCACUUUUUGGCUGGUAGAAAAUGAAGGUGCUUCCACUUCUAGUGUUUUGCAUGCCAUCUCAAAGGGAUGCUGAGUGAUGCAAUAUACAAAUCCCACUGCUACAGAGAUGAUGAAUGCUUGAAAGAUAAAUAUGCUGCCUAUCAAUACCUUCGAGAAAUGCCAGACUUGGAAGGAAAGCUCCAAAGGGGAAAAAAUUACCCACGUGCUGACAGAUCAGGCUUUCAUUUCCCAUCUGCUAAUGAGAAAUGAGAUGAAGGUGAUAACUACUUGAGAGAUGGUUGUAUUUUGAUCCCCUUCCUGAGGAAAGGAAGAUGUAAUGUAUUAUAGUUCCUUACUUUAGCUUGCACUUCCUUAGUCCUGGGAGUGUUAAGCAAGGUUUCCACAUGAACUGCACUGUAGUUCUAGCACAUUGAGGCUCUAUGACAAAUACCUUUGUGUAUGCACUCAAGGAUGGAUUUAGAUCACCUCUUUCAAUCCUGCAAAUCUAUCCAAGCCCAUGGUGCCAGCUUCUGUACCCCAAUCUUUUGUAUUCACAGUGCAGCUCAACGGCUUCCUGCUUGAGGGACAACUCAGUAUGCUGUUUUCUGAAACCCAGGAAAAAGCUUUGGUGUUACCCUGGACUUUUCUGGAAGGUGUAUUUCUUUGGUAGUAGCCUGACAUCAAUCUCCUCCAUGACAUUCUUCUUGGUUUAUUUUUCAAACCAUUCCAAAAACCUCAGCUGCAUGACUUGGACAUUGUCAAAUGGCUCUCGUGUUAAUAAGCCAGGAGGUUUGUCAAGCAUAUAAGUAAAUUACAUUUUUGCCAGUCUUGGUUCUGUAAAAAUAUUUCAGUCUUCUGUCCCCUAGCUCAAAAUCUGCUCAUAAAAUUUCUUCAUGGAAACCACAUUAUCAUGAUUCAGAAAGGAGGUAUUUAUUUGAAAGAGAUUUCUUAUAAUGCUAUUAAGCUAGAAUAGGCCAAAGUUAGAAUGAAAUUAUUAAUCAGGCUCUAUUUUACUAAUACGUAUGGUCCCAUUGAUUUUAAUAGAAUUACAUGACUUAUUGAAAUAAGCAAAUUCUCCCUGAGGUAAACUUUUAAAUUAAAAGUUGAUUGAAAUUUUGGUGUGGGGAACUCUUGAUUGAGUUCGAAAGAUGUAUCUCUGAUUCUGGACUCAUUUUUUUCUCUAAGACUUUUUGUGCUUGUCUACAUAUAUUCUACCCAACAGAGGAGAAAGAGUAUCUCAUUAGAAAAAUGAAAUGUCAGUAUAUUUUUAUAUUUAUUCUCUUUCUUGUUUAUGUGAAAUAAAUUGUUUUAAUGUUUUUUUUUUUAUUGAAAUUACUGUAGAAAGCUAAGUCAAAGUGUUUGCCUUAUUCUUUUGAAUUCAGUCAGUUAUAUUCUUAUCUGCUUUGUGUUAUUUAUUGUUUGAUAUAUUUAAUUUAUAGGAUCUGAAGGCCUGGAUAACGAUGGCAAUCCUACUGUGGUGUUUGCUAAAUCCUGCUUUCAGGAGCAGAGAGUCCAUUUCAUGUCCCCUCCCAACAUCUAUUAUAUGCACAAAUGUAAAGAGUUACAUUCCACAAGUGUAGGGCUAUUCCUGUGCCUGUGGAUGUGAGUGUGUGCUUGCACACUUGCCCUUUCUCAUAUGCAUUUUGCCCUCGCUGUGAGGUGUGCAGUGAGAGAAUUUUAAUCCCAUUUUUUGACCUUUCUGAGAAGGGAAGGUAAAGAGCGGAGGGGGAAGCAUACACACCUGCAGUUUAUUUCCUUUAAAGAGAGGACUUGAAGAUGAUAGAGAUGAGAUAGAAGGAGAAUACUGCCCCUUGCCAGGAGCUUUGUUCACAAUGCAUACAAUGCAUGGUCUGAGAAGCCAACUGGGAAGUGUUGCCUUUGGAAUGAAGAGCAGUAUUGCCAGGGGUCAUGGAGCAGGGAGUGCAAUCGAUUACAGGUAUAAGUCUUAAGAUGGCAGCAGGGAAAACGUUCAGUGACCAAAUCAAUCUGCUAAAUUACCUUUCCUCCAGAUGUGUAUAAUGUUAUUCUUUUAAAGCUGAAUUUGCAUUCAGGUGCUUUAGCUUAGCUGGUUUUGAAGCAGAGAGACUGUCUGUGAGAAGAUAAUUUAGAACAAAGGAUUCACAAGAACACUUAUUUUGCAUGAAAAAUACCUGCCUGGUAUUUGAAAAUGUAACUACAAGGGAAUCCAGAAAUAAGGUGCAAGAAGCAGAAUUUAGUGACUUAGUUGGUGAUAGGUAAUUGAUUAUUAUUUAAAGAGCAUCCCAAGUCCACUGAUGUCAGCGGUAGCUUUUCAGGAGAAAUUUUCCUGGAUCCUUGGUUAACAUCAUCCCCAAUGUGUGGGAAUCAUUUUGACAAUGUCAUUGGAUGCUCUUUAAGGCACUGGACUCCUAAGUAAUUACACUGUUUAUGAAAAUCCUGAUUUAUGCCCACUAUAGAAUGACAUAUUCUGAAUUUCUCUUAUGAACUUCAUGAGUUUUAGUAUGUAAAAACUCAGACUAGGCCAUUUUAACCAUGUAAGGAAAAGAUGCCUCUUUGGCCUUACUUGCUUCUGUCUUUUGUUUGCUCUGUAGGGAGAAGAAAGUGCACAUUGCAAUAAAUUUAAUCCAUUCACUUAUACUUGUCACAUAUUUCUGUAUUCUGUCAUUCAAUUCUGAAAAAAAAAUCAAAUAAAAAACCCCUCUCUUUCGGUAAUGAAAUCUUUUUCAACAGCAGAAAUCCUUUCUUCUUCAAAUUCUGCUUAUGCUAUACUGUGACCUGAUUCUUACUAGUGUGGAGAAAUUCACAGCUCUUUUAUGAUCUAAAGCAGAUCUGAACAUUACAUUCCAAAGAUGAAAGAUGCAUGAACAGCAUCGUGGAGUUCCUGGCAGAAAUCUCUGUCCUCAAUACCCUCUGUCAGGAGAAAUGUUUUCAGCUACAAGACCAAUUUAUGCUCAUCACAAGUGAGGAGUGAAAGUGCUUGCUCCCAGAUGAACUGCAGCAUUCACUGCAGAAAGAUUCACUGGUCAUGUUGGUAUUGUGUAUUUACUCUAAAAGUUUCGACCACAAAGACAAGUUACAGUGUUGAGUUUCAAAUAUUCUUUGAUGGAUCAGUGCAUAUAAAUGUGUUAAUUCUGUCACGAUUUUUGAUGGAAUUCACUCUGCUGAAAGCUAUUAAAUCAGACUGAGUGAAAAGUAGUAUAAAAACAUAAUUCAACGUUACAUCACGUUUUCUGACAUAUUGCAUGAUUUCAAGAUCACUUUGCCAGACAGAUUUCAAUUCCCUUUAAGUCUAACUGCUGAAUAUAUUCUUUGUUAUGACAAGAGCACUAAUGCUUAUGUCAAAGAAAGAUACAAAUGUGAUAGAAAAUGUCAGAAAAGAUUUCUGUUCCUAUACUCUAAAGGUUACACCACAGGAUCUGCUGUGAUCAAAUGUAAAAGUAGUACUUACUGAAAUGCCAUGAACUUCCACAUUUACUUCUUUUUUUAUCAAAAGUAUUCUUACAUGAGAAUACCAGCUGAACUAAUCUUUGAAUUUGUGGAAGAUUUGAUCAUUCUGAUAAUGAUGGAUUUCCUUCAGUGUGAGUACCCACAUGCAAGAGAAAUUUUGUUGCUCUCACAUCCUGUUUUGUAGUAUCCUACAGCUGACAUCUGAAGAGCACAGUAAGUAACCAAUAUAAGAAAUUGUCAACAUUUUGCUGUCUUUAGCAACUAUCCACAGGUGUUACUCUUAUAUAACCUCUGCAGUCAGCUAUGAUAUACAGAGUUAAAUCUCCCUGUUGCUGUAGCCAGGAAAGAAAAAUGUGCUCAAAGCUUUUUUUUUUUUUCUUUGAAAGAAUAACACACUUCAACAAUCAAAGGACUAAAAGCUAAACAGUCACAUAGAACUGUAUUUAAAAUCAUUGGUUUGGGAGUAUGGGGUGUGUGUGAGCGGUUUAUGUAUGGGAGAAAUCCCCUUAACUAAAAGCAUUAGAAAAAUUGAAUGAAUGUAAAAUUCAACAGUUUAAUUGGAUCUUGAGGAAUUAUCUUGGAACCUGCAAACUGGCUUCCAAGCCCUGCUAACUAACUUACCUUCAUCAAAUGCUUAAAGGCUUUCCUCACAUUGUCAAAAGCAUUUUAAGCAAGCACAGCACUCAGCUACAUACCAUGACAAAUUUUGCCUGUAGGCUAUUAAAAUGGCUUUAAACCAGUGAGGCGUGCUCUUAAAUAUAUAAUAUAUAAUAUCUAUAUAUCUAUAUAUCUAUAUCUAUAUAUAUAUGCAUACUUUGUACAUAUUUCAUACUGAGCUGGCUCUCUCCUACCAAGCUGCUUUCUUUGUGGGAUUUGGUUUAUUUGGGGUUUUUUUGGGCUUUUUUUGUGGGUUUUUUUGGUGAUUUUUUUUUAGGGUUUGUUAUUGUUAUUUUUUUUUCUUUUAGCCUUUAUAUCUUCGAAGUCUAGCAGGGUUAUUAAUUAAUGAACUUGUGUAUUUCUGUCCUUAGAUGCUGAAGAGUGAGGAACUGUCAAUCAGCAGGGACCCUCCUGAAUUAGGUAGCACUCAGAGCUCAUUGUGUGCAACUGAGGUCAACUGCCAACCAACCAAGUGCUCUGUCCUGCUCGCACAAAGCUUUCCCUGAAGGCAAGAGAAAAGAAUAAUAAAAGGGGGAAAUGGCCUGCUGAGCAAAGACUCUGAGUCCUUUAUAACAGGAGGUCGUUUUUGAUUAUAGGAAGGAACCUUCAGUGGCCAUGGAAACCAAAAUGCCACACAAAAGCCAGAGGGUGCUUGGGAGGUAAACAAGAUAGAUGAAAGGUGAUGGUGCUUUUAAUCUCCACAAUCAAUGUGUUUAGACACCUAGCAGGAUGAAACAACUGGAAACAAUGGCACUCAGUAAGGAAACCUUUUCCAUCAAGAAGUCUUGGAGCAGUUACGUGAAAACUGGUUUUGAUUUGGCUCUCUGCAACAGACUAUCUAUCCAGCAAAACAAUAUCAAAAAAUUAAAAGGCAAACUGGGAGUGGAAAUCCUGGUCACAGGAUGCAAAAGUGGAACUACAUGAAUAUUUCAGAGACAUCUACAGAUUGUACAGUCAGAAUACCUCCACUACUAUUCUACAAGGAAUAUGCAGCAAGAGACGACAGUGCUUCCACCUAUGAAAAAGCUAUGGACUCCACAGUAUCUGCUCUGGCAUGCCAGCUGGCCUCUCCACACAUGUCUUCUGUCUCUCUCAUCAGCACGUAUGGAACAGAGAUGUGUGCUGUCACCUGGGAAGGAGGAAGAUGCAAAGAUUUUAAAGCAAUAAGCACAAACAUGGGCUCAGCAUUUUGAGAAAGCAUUAAAUACCCCUUCUGUCACCUAAUUUCUUCAGAUGUGAAUUCCUACCCUUUUGCUGGAAAUCUCAAGCAUCCAAAGAGCCAGGCCCAGGCCCUGUUUGGAGCCAUUAGACAGAGAUUGGCACUGCUCCCUCUUCCUGCACCACAUCCUCCGCUGAAAAAAAUGACCAUCAGAUCAGAGAACAGAGCCUGCUUUGUCCCCGGCAACCAAGAUCUGGAAGCACUUUCAAUCAUUUGCACUCUAUACCCACUCAAAUGCAUUAAUGUGAUCAACAUUGGGCCUGUUGUGGGCAUUUUUUCCAGCAAAUAGCUUGCUAACAUUCCAGGCAUGUACUUCCCUGAAAACAAGACCGAGACAGGGCCCUGAAUAUUCAAUUGGAAAAUCACCAAGAGCAAGAGCUUAGCUUGGCACGGCUGGUGUUGAUUCUUAAUAAGUGACUUCCUAAAGCUGAGGCAUGGGGCUUACAGCUUCAAUGACUUGUUUGAAAAAUAUUUUGUAGGUGCCUCAUACCACUUUAUUUCCUGUGGUAUGCGUCAUAUUGUGAGCUAUUCUGAGCCAGGCUGCUUAAGCACACUAACAUUUUUUUCCAAGAUUGCGGUGUUUAACUAAAAAUGUGCUUAUACAAGAUGAGCUCAUAGCUAUUAGUGCUGAUGUAGUUUUAACUACUUGGAUACCAAUACCCCAAGGCCUAAAACCUGCUGAAAAGGGGGGAAAACCUAAGCAAAAACCAUCCUUCACAGUAAUUGAAGGCUUUUUGUAGACAAGACAACUGGAAAAAUAUUUUAAAAUUUGGAUUUUUUUUCCAUAGGGCAUUUGGUGUGCAAAAUACCUUUCAACCACAUUAUAAAAUUUGCUAUUAAAAGACUUACUGAUGUAAAUAGCUGAAGAGAUUUCAGAAACCCACAGAAAAAUAAUUUCUUCAAUGUCCUUUCAUGUGCUACAAAUAUCACUUCCAGCAAAAGCAGUGUAUGUGUGCUUCUCCAGUGCAGCUGGAUGGACUAGGUACAUCCUAAUGUUUUAUUCAUUGGAAUAUAUCUUUCAUUGACGUGGCUACCAUGACGAGGCAAGUUUGACUGUGCUGAAGGGGGUCAGCAAAGAUUUUUGUCUAGGCACGCCAUUGUGGAGAGGGGUGUCUGGCUGUCACAGCACCAUUGUUCAGUGAUGUGCUCUUCUACCAGCCCCAUUCUCCAAGUUGAGGGAAGAUGGCAGCGUUUUGCGUGACACACUUGAAAAGUCAAGGGGUGGGAUUUUUGGAGUUUACCUUGGUGCCUAAAGAGGGCUAUGAACAAUGGGAGGUACCUUAAGGAGGCCUUGUUUCGAGGCCCAUUUUAGAGGAACAGCACUUGUCUAGAUUAUAUCAGGUCAGGUAUAAAGGUAUUGCAAAAAGAAAAUUAAAAUGAAGGGGAUGAAUGUCUAUAUGAAGUUCUAUGACUGUUAAUUUCUAAGCCAGAAUCUGCAUCCUGGACAUAAUCUGCAUCUAGAAGUCCCAUGUAGAAGAGAUAAAAUGGAAAUAAAUGCAUGAAAGAAAAUGGAAAUAAUUAAAAUUUCCCCAAAGGAUGAUAUGUAUAGAUUGAGGGGAAUGAGAAAGGAAACAAUGUGAAAAUAACACAUACCAUGGUCACUUUUUCUAACCCAAACCAUUUAAGAGUCAGGGAUUCAGCUGCAGAAGAACUUAUAUAAACGGACAUUUACAUGUACACAAUUUAUUUUCUUCCAGACUCCUUUUCUGUAUUUCUGUAAAAAAUUACUGAGACAGAAUUUACAGCUGAAAAUGUC